UACGUAGGUGGCAAGCGUUGUCCGGAUUUACUGGGCGUAAAGAGCGCGCAGGCGGUCGUUCAAGUCGCGUGUGAAAGCCCCCGGCUCAACUGGGGAGGGUCACGCGAUACUGAUCGACUCGAAGGCAGGAGAGGGUAGUGGAAUUCCCGGUGUAGUGGUAGAAAUGCGUAGAUAUCGGGAGGAACACCAGUGGCGAAGGCGACUACCUGGCCUGUUUCUUGACGCUGAGGCGCGAAAGCUAGGGGAGCAAACGGG
rnacentral:rRNA from 1 species